rnacentral:rRNA from 1 species
AGUGAACGCAUGGCGGCGUGCUUAACACAUGCAAGUCGCACGAGAAAGGACUUCGGUCUGAGUAAAGUGGCGCACGGGUGAGUAACACGUGAAUAACGUACCUCCGGAUGGGGAAUAACGUUCCGAAAGGAGCGCUAAUACCGCAUAAGACCACGUCAUCACAAGAUGAUGAGGCCAAAGCAGCAAUGCGUCUGGAGAUCGGUUCGCGUCCCAUUAGGUAGUUGGCGGGGUAAUGGCCCACCAAGCCAAAGAUGGGUAGCUGGUCUGAGAGGAUGAUCAGCCACAUUGGGACUGAGACACGGCCCAAACUCCUACGGGAGGCAGCAGUGGGGAAUCUUGCGCAAUGGGCGAAAGCCUGACGCAGCAACGCCGCGUGAGUGAUGAAGGCCCUCGGGUCGUAAAGCUCUGUCAGAAGGGAAGAAUUAAUGACGGUACCUUCAAAGGAAGCACCGGCUAACUCCGUGCCAGCAGCCGCGGUAA